rnacentral:lncRNA from 1 species
UCUUCUAAAAGUAGUGGAUAGCAGUUGGGUGGCUAAUGUCUUCAAUAAUCUUGUACCAUAUAUCCUUUUUUCUUUUUCCUCCAAACCCUUCAAUUGGGACUAUUGAACUAUUAUGGAGGAAAAAAAAGUACAUUAUGUUUGGGUGGGAACCAUAAGAAUAUGUGUGGAACUUUAUCCUCAUACGAAUAGGCAUAUUAUUUUUGGUUUGAUUGAUUGGUCUUCCAAAAAGCCAAGUUCUUGGAGGAGAGGAGAUGGUUUCUUCAAGAUGUGCUUACCAAAGGAAAAAUAUCAGGAUCUGAAAACCAAGACAUCGUUAUAAUAGUUAUAAGGAUGCUAAAGGCCCAUUCUCAUAAACCCAUCCCGGAGUUGACAAUCUAGCCCAUUCACUCCCAUAGUCUCAUUUUCUUGCCACCCAUUGUGGCAGACACGAAAUCCUAGAGCUUUUUCAAUGGCUCUUUUGGUGUGUCUCCGAUCCAGCCUCUCUCUCUCUCUCUCUCUUCCAUCGAAUGCUCAUUCUUUCGAUCUACCACCUAUUGAGGCUCUGGAAUACCUAAUGUCACG